CAGGGCCCUUGUGAUCUCAACACAGGGCUCCUGUUUAACGCUGUCUUCCUAUGGCCAAACUCUUCGGGGUGGAGGGGGUAGUAGUGUCACUGCCUGCCCUCUCCUAGAAUAAAUCCUCUCUCUGGUACAGUUGUCUCCACAUAGACAAAGGAGUUUGUAAAUUAGAUACACUCCCAACUGUGCCUAAAAGACAUGGCUCAAGAACAGUGACUCUCUUUCACUAUUGACCUGGGCUCGUGAACUAGAGGUGAAAGACCUGUGACUAGUUCCUUGAACAAUCCAGGUCUGUCCUCUAAAUUACAUAUUGUAAGAUGAACACAGCACGUGCUGCUAGAGCUAACAUUUUAAUAGAUUUUGAAAGCACGAGUCAAGCAAAUAGAACAAUGUGAGUUUAGUCAAUUAAUAUUUACAUCAUUAAGAUGUUUAACUAGCCCAUAAUCAACUGAAAAUAACAGCCCUAACAGAUUUAGGGAUCAAGAACUAUUUUGGGACAGGGACUUUUAUCUUCUUACAUGUGUAAAGCACUGUUACUGUAACUACAUAAACAAACCGCAAUAAAAAUAGCCAAACCUAAAGGGCUCUAAA